AAAAGUUACCAAUCGCGAGCUCCCUUCGGCCACUCCACCAUCAUCAGCAAUUCAGGGAGCCCGCCGGCCCGCCCCGCCCCGCCUCGUUACCCGCCCACCCACCGCUGCUUCUGCCCGACUGCUCCAUGGAGGGGACCACGCAACCCACCGCGGGGGCGCGGGAAAAGCUGCUCCCCACCUCCGCCGCCGCCUCUCUGCCGCCCUACCUCGACCCGCACCCCGCCGACUCCUCCUCCUACGCGGUCCUCCUCGUCCCCGUCCGCCGCCGCCUGCGCCGCGGCGGCCGCUGCAUCGCCCCCUGCCUCACCGCCCUCCUCCUCGCGCUCGCGGGCUUCCUCCUCUGGCCGGCCGACCCGGACAUCUCCCUCGCCCGCUUCCACCUGGGGCACGUCUCCGUCGUGGCGCGCCCCGCCGUCGCCGUCACCAUAUCCGCCGCGCUCAAGGUCCGCGUCCGCAACCCGGACCUCUUCGCGCUCGACUACACCCGCCUCGACGUCGCCAUCGGCUACCGCGGCAAGCCGCUUGGCCUGGUAACGUCCGGCGGCGGACGGGUCCAGGCGCGCGCUGUCUCGUACGUCGACGCCAACCUGCAGCUCGACGGCAUACGCGUCGUCGAGGACGCGAUCUACCUGCUCAAGGACCUCGCGCGGGGAUCCGUGCCCUUUGACGCCCUCGCCGAGGUCGAGGGUCACCUUCACUUCUUCUUCCUCAGUAUCCCGGUCAAGGUGAAGUGUUGAUUUCUUGUUUGUUAGUAUAUUGUUAUAUGCAGAUCUCAUGAAUUGGAUUACAACCUGUGUCAGUGUUGAUUUUCUCCUAUGGUAAUGCGAAUUGCAAAAGCCCCAUAUCUCUAUGACGAUAAAUUUGGUAGGAUGAGGUGAAGCAAGUUAGAAUUUCCGCUGCGGACAAGAGUUUAGCAUUGCCCACACAGUUUAUCUGACAUGAUUCUUAACUCUUAAGGUCCAUACGAUGUCUAAUGCAUUAUAGAGAGAAACCAAUACAGGACGGUGCAGCACAAAAAUUGUGAGGAAAGAAGAUCUACACAAUCUUCUUGCAUUGAUCUAGAUACCAUUCAUCUGUCAGACAUGGUAUGUCCAUCAUAUUCAGAACAUUCAUGGCGUAAUGUUAGCAGGAUACAUGCUCUAAGUCUCUGAUUCUUGAUUCACUAAAUGAUAUAUUAUUUGUUAUAUCUGUAAAAGAACAUAACGAGACAUGUCGUAAAUACUUAGCAUGAUCAGUGACAAGUUACCUCCUGUAUCUAGAUAUCAUUUCUCUAUAAGAUUUUGUUUCAAGAUGUAACAGUAAUUUAGUAUGUUGCCUCUGUAAGAAUGCAUGGUAAUCAAACAUAUCCUUUGUUUGAAAAUUUUCUAUCUCCAUGUUUAUUAAUCCUUGAAUGAAGUGUUUGAUUUACAGUAAUAAAUUGCAAUCAUUAAGGGAUACCUAGUAAGAGGGAGAGUAGUGAUAGAUCUAAUAACACAUGAGAAGAAGAAUACUCGUCAACAUUUCACAUGUUCCUUGUGUCUUUAACUGUUAUCAUUUCUCACUUCGUGGUACCACUUCUCUACGGAUUUAUGGAACUACUGGGGAGAAUAUCUUGCGUGGUUCAUGUUAAUCCACACAACCAAACUAUAGUACAUCAGGACUGCUACCCCGAGUGAAAUGCUUACGGCGUGGAAGGAUGUGUGCUAUCUUGCCUCGCGAAUGAAUCGUUUGGUUCGUUUCUAAGCUUCGCUUGGAGCCGUUGUAAAAGUAAGAAACAACUAAACUCUACUGGAUAAUGUGCCUAUUGUAAAGCCGUUAACACGUCAUGUUAAUAUCAAUCAGUUUCCCUACAAUGAGAAAAUUGAUAUUUCGCAUUGGUGUUA